rnacentral:tRNA from 1 species
GCCUUCGUGGUGUAACGGUUAGCAAACUCGGCGAAUAUUCGAGAGGUCCAGGUUCGAGUCCCGGCCAGGGCA